CUAUACUGCAAGUCGAGCGGACAGAUGGGAGCUUGCUCCCUGAUGUUAGCGGCGGACGGGUGAGUAACACGUGGGUAACCUGCCUGUAAGACUGGGAUAACUCCGGGAAACCGGGGCUAAUACCGGAUGGUUGUUUGAACCGCAUGGUUCAGACAUAAAAGGUGGCUUCGGCUACCACUUACAGAUGGACCCGCGGCGCAUUAGCUAGUUGGUGAGGUAACGGCUCACCAAGGCAACGAUGCGUAGCCGACCUGAGAGGGUGAUCGGCCACACUGGGACUGAGACACGGCCCAGACUCCUACGGGAGGCAGCAGUAGGGAAUCUUCCGCAAUGGACGAAAGUCUGACGGAGCAACGCCGCGUGAGUGAUGAAGGUUUUCGGAUCGUAAAGCUCUGUUGUUAGGGAAGAACAAGUGCCGUUCAAAUGGGGCGGCCCCUUGACGGUACCUAACC
rnacentral:rRNA from 1 species